CUCUGAACUAUCGCCUCCAGCAGCUGGUGAGGAAAGGCUGGAAAGAUGGCCAUACACAUGAUCUAGGGAGAGGUCUGAUGGUUUUAGCUUAUUUGAAUGGUUUAUUAGACCCAGAUGAGGAGCGACCGAAGCCUCUAGGUGCCUACUCAUGCUGCAUAUGGAGUACAUGCCGUCAUGCUGUGGGGCUACCAUGCUCACAUACCAAUGUCUCCCUCUGCCAGUUGUUUCCACUACUCUUGCUUAGAAAAGCCAACCAACCAACAAACCAAUUGAAUCCAAAUCCAGAGCCUGAGAUGACAGGGAGGAUGCAGGUCAAGCAAUGGACUUUGAACAAGGUUAAUUAAGCUCACCACCAGAUAAGAGCUGACCUUUAAAGAUGAGAAAGCAGCAAAUAAGAGCAGACAGUUGCUGUUUCAUGUCCUUAUUUGAGUGAAGGCCCAAAUCCAGUUCCUUCCACAGGAAAAUGGCUCAGUCUUCCAAAGCCGGCCAAACUUACCUUUAGGCCCCUUCUUCAGUAGGGUCCCACUUUCAAUCCUGGCCCUUGUCUAGUAUCCUACCCACUAGGAUGUCCCACUUUGUCCCAAGCCCCUGUGCUAGGCCUGCCCAUCACCUCCAUCAGUACUUUGUUUUUGGGCCACCCUCUUGAGCCUCUAUCAUCUAGUCCCCACCUCUUUGGAUGAAAACUUGCUAAAUCAACCAGUCAAGCCUUAGCUAAACUCUGCUUAUAUGCAAAUGACGAAGGGCCAGAGGCAGCCAGCCCUCUAGGGCUAGCUCUUAGGUGUCCUUUGGGGUCUGCAAACUUUUCCUAUAAUGAUCCAGAUAGCAGACAUUCAGGCUUUGCCGGGCCAUAUCGUCUCUGUCACAGCUACUCUGCUGUUGUACCAAAACGGCUGUAGGGGAUAUGUAAAUGAAUGGACAUGGCUAUGUUCCGAUCAACCUUUAUUGUAGAUCUGAAAUUUACAUUUUAUACAGUUCUCCUGUAUCAUGAAAUAUUUUUCUCUUAAUUGUUUUUCAAUAAUUAAAUGUGUAGGAGUUCUUUUGUGGCACAGCGGAUUAAGGAUCUGGCGUUUUCACUGUAGUGACUUGGGUUGUCACUGCGCCACUUAGCUAAUGGGCCAUACAAAAAAACAGGCAGAAAACCAUAUUUGAUCCAUGGGCCUAGUUUGCAGGCCUCUGCGCUACAGCUGCACAUUCAUGGCUGGCUAUUGAAUUCUCAGGAUGUGACUGGUCUGUACUAAAAUGUGUGAAAGUAUAAAAUAUAUCCAGAUUUCCAAGACUUAGUACAUACAAACAGAGAAUAU
rnacentral:lncRNA from 1 species